CACAGGUCACUUUGGCAGUGGCAAAAACUCAAAUCAGAUUCUAAUCUAUUACCCAGAGUGCCCAGGAAAAGGAAAUGACAUCCUGGUGGCAGAGAGGAUCAAGGAGAAGGAGAGCAUGUAUGUAGCAGAAGCUACUGUGAAGAACUGUUUUAAAAAAAUUCACUUUAAAGUUACACAUCACUUAAGUUGGUGGGAGCAAUUUCACUAAAACUCCUCAUGCCAGAUCUGGAGCUGGAACAGGAUUGUAUCUCUCCCUGCCUGGCCUGGCACUGGAGGCUUUUCCAUUGAAUGCUGAGCAUGCAGUUCCACAAGGUGAACAUAACCUUAUCACAAAUGUGCAGGCAGCAUUGUUUCACUCUUAGAAAUGUAGCCACUCACCACAUUCUAGAAGGGCACCGCUGGACAACUUUAACUCUGUGUUAAUGAAGUUUUUGAGAAUUUAACUUAAACCUAUUUUGGCCUUGUACGAUAUUGACUAUUUGGGAAUAUG